rnacentral:rRNA from 1 species
GUGGGGAAUCUUGCGCAAUGGGCGAAAGCCUGACGCAGCCAUGCCGCGUGAAUGAUGAAGGUCUAGGAUUGUAAAAUUCUUUCACCGGGGACGAUAAUGACGGUACCCGGAGAAGAAGCCCCGGCUAACUUCGUGCCAGCAGCCGCGGUAAUACGAAGGGGGCUAGCGUUGCUCGGAAUUACUGGGCGUAAAGGGCGCGUAGGCGGACAGUUUAGUCAGAGGUGAAAGCCCAGGGCUCAACCUUGGAAUUGCCUUUGAUACUGGCUGUCUUGAGUACGGGAGAGGUGAGUGGAACUCCGAGUGUAGAGGUGAAAUUCGUAGAUAUUCGGAAGAACACCAGUGGCGAAGGCGACUCACUGGCCCGUUACUGACGCUGAGGCGCGAAAGCGUGGGGAGCAAACAGGAUUAGAUACCCUGGUAGUCC